AAAAUAGUUAAAUAAUUACAUCAUAUGACGACAAUGAUCCAGCAACCAUAGUUGACUAGGAGACGAUGGCCUAGACCUCUCACGAACUCAUCGCGACAUCCUUCAUGCUCCUCAUCUUGCGGUACCUGUCCUUUACCUAGGGGCUGUGAGUAUAGCAAGGGUGAGCUCACAUACGUUCAAUGCUCAAAAAGUUGUGGGAAUAAUGUGCAUGAGCUCUCCUACGGUGGGGCUCAUGUGAAGUGUAAAGUUUACCAAAGGAGAUGGUUAAAGCUGAGUGUUGCUUUUAAAGUUGGUUAAAGUUUUAUUAGCAGUUACUAAGUAUAAGUAAAUAUCAACUCAAUUAAAUAAGAGAUCACAAUUAAAAAUAACACCCACAAUGCAAUACAAAUGACAGAUUAAGUUUAGUUCCAUAAGUUAAUCCUACGAGAGACUUGAGUCGCUCUUGACCGUGAGCAUGACUGAUGUACCAGUUUUACACUCUGCAGAGGUUGCACAUCUUUACCCACAAGACAUGUUUCCCGAUUAGCCAGGGUUAGCUAGACCCUUAGACACUUCCAAGGUGAAUGGCUAGGGAUCCACUGCGAGGCUUUUCCAAAGUUCCACUAGUUCGAGAAAACCCGUUAUAGAUUCAGGAAGAAGGAAACAUAGGAAUCCCUCGUCCGAAAAGCCAUCGCAGCAGUUCGACCCGAGGACCUCCCUAUACUCUGCAGCGACGUUUCCCUGCUUGCCCCUUUUAGGUAAGGUAAUCUCUCCCUACUUUCCUAAUUACUUAGCCAAGGGCAUCCCAUUCCACCCUUGUGAUAGCACUGUUAUCUCAAGUUAAGCUCCAUGUUCCAAUUAUCACAAUAAUCUUGUCAUGAACAAUAAUUAAACCACAACAAAAUUGGAACAUGAUCAUAAUUCAAAUGUAACAUUAAUCCCAAAACCAGGUAGAGCAAUAGCAAGUCUACCCAUAGUUCACUUGUUUGCAAAGUGUGGGGUACACAAAACUAGGUAAACCUAUUGGGUCCCAUCAAAUUAACCUGAGCAUGACACAGUGAUUAACAGGAAUAUUAUUAGGUAAAUAAGAGUGAUCAAGGGCACAACUUGCCUGUGACUUGAGAUCACAGGUACUUCACCAAAUUGGUCUUCGGUGACUCGUGACCACACUGCUACUCAUAGCAAUACAUACAGAUAGACAAAGAGUACAUAACAAAACAAUACACCAAACAUGGGAACAAACAACGUAAGUUAUAACUUGAUUAGAGGUUAUAUUUUAGUCAGAUUGUAACUAUAGCCAGGUUAACUUUGUAAUCCUGACUAAUCUACUAACUAUAGGUUAAACAAAUAUAUAUUUUGGAAAAUAUGUUACAUGAUAAAAUAAGGUUACUAAAGUGUAAGCAAUAUUAAUACAAGUCUAACACAACUUGAAAACGUAGGGGAUAUGAAUUUUUUAAGUUUGUAGGUUUAUUUAUAUACUAGAAAUCCAUUUUCUUGUAUUACUCUAUGAAUUUCCUAGGGUUGUGGACUACGGAUAAUAUUUCUAAAGAGUACAUGUGCUAUUCCGAAUAAUACUGAACCCGAUCGUAAGGUUCUUUGAACUGGUAGGACUGCGGGUUGGUUUUGAAUAAGUUGAGGGGCUUUUUAGCAUAUUGACCAUGCCGAAUGGGUAUCCUCAAUCUUGAGCUGCCUGAUCUAAAUCUGGGGGUUCGGAUUAGAUCCCCGUUUUUAUGAUACAGUACGCACUAUGGGCCACCCGAUCAGAGAUCGACGCACCAAAUUAGAUUGAUUUUGACUCAAAACGGUACGCGCCUCCUGACCACUGGAUCCGUGAUCCACGGCCCCAAAUCCCCCUUAACGAACCGAUAGGCUCAUUCUAAUUAGGGCUGAUCACUUGAGAUCCCACACCCACUACUUCGUCUUCUACCCCCAACAAUAGAGCGCGGCGAGCCCCAAUUGCCCGCGGCGGCGCAAACGCCGGUGAGGUACUCACUGGUCCGCUGGUGCUCCAACACUCAAUCCCGAUGGUGCUACGCAUAGAGGAGGUCAAGGUGAACCUAUGGGUGGCUUCCUUACCCUCGAUUACGUCGCGAUGAUCCCUUCCCGCGGAGUAGUGCGGAUCAUAACGACGCCACGGACCCUGGCAAGCGAUUGGCCAUCACCCGGUGUCGUUCACGCGCUUGAUUGGAACAUGCACUAGACUCCACAACCUCCAGUGAACCUUCCCUAUUCCUCUUUGAUGGUUGAAUUCCAGCGAGACGCGGAAGAGUUCGUGAAGGAUCUCUCUCCCCUUUCUCUCUCUCAGGUGCGUGGUGAAGCCUGGCGAUGGCGAUGGUGUGCUCGGUGGUCAUCAAGGAGGCAGGGUUCGGUUUAUAUGGAUACGAGGAGAGCGGCCCAGGGCGUAUUCGGUGGGGCAAAAAUCCAGACGAACUUCAAAGGAUUUGUUACAGCGAGCGCGAAAGAUUCCGCCAAUAUCUCGUUCUGUUGGGAUGAACUCAUGGCGAGGAUGAAGGGCUAAGCACGCGGGUCCACGCGUUGGUGUAAGCUAUAGCACGACGGCUGGUGCGACUGGUCUGUGGGGUCCACCCGCCAGCGGAUCCAAGCGCGUGCGUGAGCAGUAGUGGCUAGCAGACGGGACCCACGCGCAACCGUUGAGAACUACGAUAUCAUGGAUCACCAGAUCCGCUCCCUUUCCUCCUGUCAGCAGUAGAGGCGCAAGAAGAUGUAGAGAACACGUCUCCCUUCCCAUAAGCACGACAGAGGAAACACACGAGACUAUGGAUAUAGGGUUGGGCCUCUGGCCUCUUUCUGAUCUCUAUCAUAUGAAGGGGUGUACAUGUUCCUUAUAUAGAGAUGUGAGACCCCUCAGGGGUAAAGCAGGUAUUUGCCCACAUAACACUAACUAGGGUUACUUAACACUCCCCCUUGGGCGAAUACCGCGACCAACACAUGCCUCGUUAAAACUUCGAAAAACCCAAUGGGAAAAAUGUGGAGAAAGAGUGCAUGGUGAUACAAAUUGCAUUUGCACUUUGUUGCCUCGUUAAAAACCUCAUGUGAGAAACUUCAAGAAAACUCACCAAGAUAAAAAGAGUACAGCAGCUGUCAUCGGGACAGAUUUCGAUCCUCUGGGAUCUAGAUUCUAUCGAAUCUUCUACAAGGGCUAACUUUAGAAAUGUGCUCCCCUGAUCCUUGCAAAUCCGUAUCAAUAAGGCAAAACAUUUUCUUCUGAAAGUAUAUGCACAUAAAGAUUUAGCGAACGGAUUGCAUAUCAUUGCAAGGACUAUUUCAGGAACUUUACCUCUACUCACUUCUAGGAUAUACGAGCUAAGUGCACGUAUCAAUAUAAAUAAGCCACUUUGAUUGAUGGUGUUUGAUUGACUGGAUCUAUAUAUUUGAUAGAAAGUUCCAUAAAGGUUCACAUAUUGAUCAUCAAGCUCAUGCCUUCAGUGCAUAGAAUAUGACAUUUAUUGUCUCACGAAUGUGAUCAAUAUAAGCAUUCGCUCCCCCUGACGAUGACAUCUGUCAAAGUCGUUAUCCCUCAUAACUCAAGCAUAUUCUUCAAGAUAUAUGUCUCAUUGUUCAUCUGGAAUAACGAGAAUGGAUGAGGUUGGGGUGCUAUCAUUUUCUAUCUUACACCACAAUUUAUACAUAAUUGUGCAAAGCAAAUAACAUGUCCUUCAAUAGGACUUAGGGGAUAAUAUAGUUGCAAUAGUACAUAUUCUAAAUAUGACACAUCGCUCGAGGCAUUCAUCCAUUGCAACAUCUAUGAUGGUGUAACAAAAGUCCAUAUAAGAUCAUAAUCCAUCAGGGAUUUUUCAUCGAUUAGAUACAUCGUUAUAGUCUGUCAUUCUGGCACAAUGGGGAUAUUUUGCCAGUAACACCUAAACCUUAUAGGUUUCUGCCAUCAUGGCUUUAGAGGAUACCGUAAUUCCACAUCUAGUGGAAAAUACCAUGAGUAAAGAUCGUGGAAUGCACAUGUGCUUAUUCGGUGAACUUCAAGUCCUUUGGUACCUCAUCUUAUUCCUUUUCCGGGUCUAUAUGGGUCUUUAUCCCUUUAUAGGGAUUAUCAAACUUUGGUGUUUAACACAGACUUUAUUUCUUCUGAAAAAGUUCCAUCAAGGAACUAUAAUCUCAUCUAGGAGAUAUUCUCUCUACAUAGGAGAGUGAUCAUUCAUCAGGAAUGUAUUAUCUAGUAUGAGAUUUAUAUGUUGCAUAUUUAUAAUUCAAAGAUAUGAGUCCUCGUAGGAUCUCAUGCGGAUCUUCAGAAUCCUAUUAACUACAUAUUUUAAUUCAUGCCAUUUGCCAGAUAUAUUACAUAGUGGAACAUUGUUUAUUCGACACAUAUGUGGGAUGUGUCUCUCACAAGACCACUUGAACCAUCGCAUUCACCACACAUUAUUUCAAUAGUGCCCAUAAAUGUCCGAACUUCAAGCUCGUGACUUUCAUUUUUGCGAUUAUUGGUUCAGCCUCGAUUGCAUUUAUCAAUGACCCGAUAAGAGAGCUUAAAGCACUCAUGCCUAGGACUUUGUUUUGGAUCCCUUUGCAAUCUAUAGAGGCAAGAUAGGUGUCGACACAUUUGUCUCCCACAUUUAAUAAUGAUCUCUGCCAUUUCCUAAAACGAAAGAUUCAUUGUUCUAUAUUCCCAGCACAAUGAUAUUGCGCGCAUUGCUAGGAACUUCAUCAUCAAGAUGAACCUCUUCGUGAGGCAAAUCACCAGCAGGGCGAGUUCAUCAGAGGAGAGUUAUUACAGACCACGUGAAUCUGCAAUCAGAACAUAUGCUUUGACUAAGGCCAACGGAUCAUAUUCGCAGGCGUCCUCGAGAAUAGAUCAAAUGCCAAUAAGUCAAAUGUGGAUAUGAUAUUAAUCUCGGGUAUAUCCACAUCUACAUCAGGUAGAAGCAUUCAAACCAAUAUGGUUACUCCUCAACGAUUUCUGGCAAACUCCAUAUACACAGGAGUACACUCCGAACGACGGGUUCAUUUGGCUUUUGUGCGUUUAAUAGAAUAUUGAGGCAUUACACUAUAUGGGCAUUCCUCCCCCUAAUGCCGAGAUAUUCUAAAAAGCAUACAGAUAAAAUCCCCAACUACAAUUAUCCAGUUGUGGCCAAUGUAUGCUAUUGCUUGUGGUGAUUUAUUUGGGAAAUCUUACACACAUUACAGAUAGGGGUUUUAUGCAGUGAGCUUUGGACUUAGAUUAAUGUAGUGGCAUGAAUACUACAUAUUUGUCCUUCAUCGUGAAGGAUUAGUCUCAACUUCCAGCAAGACAAGCAACAACAAGUUGCUUCAUGUUUACAUUUCUGCAAACUUAUUGUUGUUAUUACCAAAUGCAAAGUCAAUAAUUAAGAUUUAGACUAACAUGCACAACGCUAUUUUAUCCAUAAGGAUCCUUCAUGGGCUCAUGAAUACCAUUCGUCGUUUGGAGCCAUUAGUUGACUUCAGAUCAACAAGUAAAAUGACCAUCAGGGUCUAACGCUCACAAAGACAUUCACUGGUUGCAUUGUUUGUUUAAGCACAUAGGAAAAUAUGGUGUAGAUAAUGGUAGUAAAGUGCACAGCAUCAGGCCAAUGCUGCCAAGCAAAUAUUUUUAUAUGCAUAGAUAUAUAGUCCAGCUCGUUUUUAUCACUGCCCAUGGUUUACCCAAUUACUCAUACUGUUCUGAAAUUGGGUAUCAAUUUGUGCAACAUUUUUAGGUAUUAUGAUUUUGAGAGAGAACUUAUAACAAUAGUUAAUAAAUUGUGAUGUUGCCAGCAGGGCAAACAUUUCUCCUCAUAUUAUAUACCAAUUUGUUCUAUAAAGCAUUAUUUCGAUCUCUUCGUUGUUCGGCAAAAAGAGAAGCUUUGGAAUAGAACAGACAAGGCCAAGAAUUCAUUUUUAUCUGGGAAAAACCACCUGAUUGCUAAGCUUUCGAUUAAGCAAAUGGUGAUAAUUGCUUGGCAAUAGCGAAACAAGACCGUUAUCCAUCUGGGACUAGGCUUCAACAACAGAUAGUAGUGCUCUAAUAAGAAGAAAUCAUCAGGAGUAGAGAGGAGACAACAGGUCUCUACAAGAUCUUCAUAUUUCUAUCACAAAUUAUCAUCACUAAUAGUCUAGUGGUCAAGACAUAUGACUCUUCUGGCUCCGAGGACCAAGGACAUAUUAAUGUCUAAUUUAGCUUCAAGCUCUGUGGUGAUGUGGGAUUUCAUAGCUAGUUUCUACUCUUCUUACUCCUAGUAGAUCAGAGAUAGAUUACGGUAAGCAUUUUAAAGGUGGAAUCCAAUGUAGUUCUGCUACAUAAACUCCAGGUAUAUGUCCAUUCAGGACUGACCUUUACCGUUUGGCUUAAAAGUAUAUCAUACCAAUCAAAGGACUAUACCUAGUCAAUUCAGCGACUAUAGUAUGUACAAUUCUGAGAGAUGUAUGCAACACAAGCAUAGAGGUCCUAAACAGGACGAGUAAAGUGGUUCGACAGGAACACACAAUGGUUUUUCACACAAACAUUGUGAAAAAUUUCUCAGAAUUACCUUUCAAUGUACUCGCAACUUCAUGUUGCUAAGGUACUAGCCAUUUAUCUCAAAGUUCGCUUCAUGUCGUUCAGCGACAAAUAGCAAUGUGCCAACAUCUGGUGAGCAAUGUAUGACUGAGAUUCUAGCAUUUAUUCAUCUGAUAAGGUCUUAUUGCUUAUUAAUUAAAUCUCAAGUUGUGAUGUUUUUUGUGCCAAAAAGGCUUUGAUGCAUUAAUAUUGAAUUUCUUCAGGUUACUUUGGGUAAAACUUUAUGCACGAGGAGAGAGCAGAGAUUUAACUUAUCUGUGUUUUAUUGUAUUUCGAUUUAAUUUCCCAGAUUUAAUAUUGUUGUUAUGGCCACUUGGCGACAUAUAUAUAAAUAUACGAUGCCAUAACACAAUCAAAUAAAAAAUAGAGCCAUGCUGUGACUUCAGAGGUUUGAACAACCCACCACAAUCCACGCGAGUACAAGCUCUAGCGUAUCUGGUGUCAACGCAUGUGCGGCCAUCAGGGCCAUGACAACACAACAAGCCUCCGUAACAAGCGUGAGAGGCGCAAUUAUGUCUCGGUAGUCGGUGUACACGAUAAAUCCACACAGUGCGCAACAGGCACAAUUGUGGCUCAAUGAUUGCGACACAUGGAUAGUGCCUACAGGGCCUGCGAAAAAUGUGUGACUCGGCUAUGGCGGUCCGACUCAACGGGAGUGGUCCGAUUAAGCAAGAGCGUGACAUAGCAAUCACAUGACGCAGCCAAGUUCGAACGACACAAAUGAUGCGUCGUGUUGCCAGGGCGCAGCCAAUGGUUAGCCAAUGCUAAAACUCAGCCGAUUAAUAACGCAACAUCGCGCGUGUCCGAUUACCCACUAUACAAUUUAAUCGUUCUGCGUGAGCCUGAAAGCUCAACAUAAUAUAAAUAUUUAUAACGAUUUGAGUAUGCAUAGUAUAGUCUUCACACAUUUUAAUAAUUUUUGAUAAUUAUCUACUACGAUAAAUAAUGCAGAAAAUCAUACUAGAAUUAAUGUAUGAGCAUAAGCACAUCAGGUGUAUGAAGACAAUUUCCUUUAUUCAAGCAUUUGUUUUUCUAUUAAUUAUUUACCACAGGAAAUAAUUAAUUAAAGAUUAAAAGUGUAACAUGAAUCAUGAUUACUACAGGAGUAACGUACUACAAGUGCAUGCGUCCUACCACUCAUCAAAAGCCAUCAAGAAAAAAACGAGCCAGCGAGGGAUGCGGCCCAAGACAUCAAUGAAAACGCUUGCAUGCGUCCCCACGCGGAUGGUCUCCGAUCCGACUUUCUCGAGGAGCGCGCAUGGAAGCGUUUUCAACCAUACGUUCUUAUCUGCGCCUGAGAAAAUGGAUGGUGAAUGCAAGCGCUCCUAUCGGUCAUGACCGGCAGACGGCUGCUGGCGUGGCGCAUGGCCACCAGUGAGGCGAGGUGCUGCACCGGCGCGAGCGCGGGCCUGUCAGGCUCCAUUGCGGGCGCUUCUGCCGCGGGCGUUGCACCACCACGACGACGGCGGUAACAAGUUCGUCGCGCAUGGAUCGUAGGCUAUGCAUAAUAGCAUAUCAAAAACAGUAAAUAUACCGCUCGAUCGCGUAGAGGGAAAAUCGAAGCCUGUCGCGUAUGACAGUUCGGCUAGGCCGGAGGACCUGCCGGCUUGACGGAGAGUUGAUGCAGAUCUGAUCCCGCAGCAACAUCGAGGUAGAGCGUGCUGAUAACGUGUUGAGAACUACGUUACCACGGAUCACCAGAUCCGCUCCCUUCCUUCCCGUCAGCAGUAGAGGCGCAAGAAGAUGUAGAGAACACGUCUCCCUUCUCAUAAGCACGACAGAGGAAACACACGAGACACUGGAUAUAGGGUUGUGCCUCUGACCUCUUUCUGAUCUCUAUCAUAUGAAGGAGUGUACAGGUUCCUUAUAUAGAGAUGUGAGACCCCUCAGGGGUAAAGCAGUUAUUUGCCCACAUAACCCUAACUAGGGUUACUUAACAACAACAACGGUGGCGCCCAGACGUGCGUGCGAGCGGUAAUGGCUGAGGGGCCCAUUCGUUAGUGACAGCACAGAAGGGAAGAAGGGGGCCGACGUGGGUGAAUGCGGCCCACCAGGUGAAUCCAAAAAGGAAAGGGCGAAUUUGGGCUGAGAUAAAUACAGCUCAUGCAAAUCCUGCUCUACCCUUUUAUUUUUUAUUUUCAGUUUUCCUUUCUAAUUUGAAAUUUUCAAAUUCAAUCUAGUUUGAGGUUCUGAAAUUUAAGCAU
rnacentral:lncRNA from 1 species